GUUUCGUCUGGCAGUGCUCUCUUCGUCAUGCUCUUGAGAGACUGUCACCAGCAACCCGGACGGGCUAAGUGGUAGUCCGGUGCUCAUCCCGUAUGGGUAUCUUGCAAAAAAGUUGCCGCAAGAAGUGGAGUAAUGUCGUGUUUACCGCUCCCUUGAAUUCUGCUCCGGUCCGUGUUCAACACGGUUGACUCUAUGUUCGGACCUACAUACAGACCUACUACGGACGGUUCGAUCCCGGCAAAAGUAACGGUUCGGGUACUGUUUUCGGUUCGGGCUCGAUUCGGCACCCUGCGAAGAACACACGACCACUCAUAAGACGUAGAGGGAAGCGCUCGUCCCGUCUACAUCUCCUCAGUGGCCGUCUGUUCUUAGCCCUAUCGUCUGUAAUGGAUUCCCUAUAAUACCUUGGCUGCAAGAAGAGCAGGUGCUUCGUGAGACUCCACUUGUCCGUUGCCAAGUCGUUUCUCUGCCAAAACAUCCACGUCAGUAGUGACACCAGCAGUCCAUUGAGAGUCCUUGCAGAUCUGCGAGCAACAUUACAACCCCCGUCCUCAGUCCCCAAAACUACACCUCAGGCGUACCCCACCUUCAUGUAACUGACGGGAUGACUGGUCUUGCACGCUGCCAGAGGACUUCCGGCACCUUUGAAGAGCAACGCUGCAAGCGUUACCGAAAAACAUGUGUUGACCUGUGACUUCUGGUCUAGAAGCAUGCUGGUCAUCCAGGACAAGGCUGUUACGUGAGGAGACAUGCACUGUACCCAGAUGACGUCAGGAAAUCUGAAGGCCUGGCAACGAUUACCUUCUGCAAUUGACCUCAGAAGAAGCCGUACUAUGAGCCUCUGCCAUGCAGGGCAUCAACGAGGUUGUAAUCUGGGCAUUAAUUCAAGUGCUACAGGCCGUAA